AAGCGAGUCUUAAUAGGGCGCAUAGUAGCGGGGCGUAGACCCGAAACCGGAUGAUCUAUCCAUGGCCAGGAUGAAGGUGCGGUAACACGCACUGGAGGUCCGAACCCACUAAUGUUGAAAAAUUAGGGGAUGAGCUGUGGAUAGGGGUGAAAGGCUAAACAAAUCCGGAGAUAGCUGGUUCUCCUCGAAAGCUAUUUAGGUAGCGCCUCAUGUAUCACUCACGGGGGUAGAGCACUGUAAUGUUAGUGGGGGCCAUUGCGGCUUACUGCGGCAUAGCAAACUCCGAAUACCGUGAAGUGCGAGCAUGGGAGACAGACAUCGGGUGCUAACGUCCGGUGUCAAGAGGGAAACAACCCAGACCGACAGCUAAGGUCCCAAAUGACGUGCUAAGUGGAAAACGAUGUGGGAAGGCAUAGACAGCUAGGAAGUUGGCUUAGAAGCAGCCAUCCUUUAAAGAAAGCGUAAUAGCUCACUAGUCGAGUCGUCCUGCGCGGAAGAUGUAACGGGGCUAAGCACGUAACCGAAGCUUCGGAUAUGUAAUUUAUUACAUAUGGUAGAGGAGCGUUCUGUAAGUCUGCGAAGGUGUCUGGUAAUGGAUGCUGGAGAUAUCAGAAGUGCGAAUGCUGACAUGAGUAGCGAUAAAGGGAGUGAAAAGCUCCCUCGCCGAAAACCCAAGGUUUCCUGCGCAACGUUCAUCGGCGCAGGGUGAGUCGGCCCCUAAGGUGAGGCAGAGAUGCGUAGCUGAUGGGAAACGGGUCAAGAUUCCCGUACUUUCGUUUACUGCGAUGUGGGGACGGAGAAGGUUAGGUGAGCCGGGUGUUGGAUGUCCCGGUUUAAGUGAGUAGGCAGAUCCCUUAGGCAAAUCCGGGGGGUUAAUGUCGAGACACGAUGACGGUGCUCCAUUGGAGCCGAAGUCACUGAUACCAAGCUUCCAAGAAAAGCCACUAAGCUUCAGGUAAACGAGAACCGUACCGCAAACCGACACAGGUGGGUAGGAUGAGAAUUCUAAGGCGCUUGAGAGAACUCGGGUGAAGGAACUCGGCAAAUUAGCACCGUAACUUCGGGAUAAGGUGCGCCCCGGUAGGUUGUAGAGCUUCGCGCUCGAAGGCCGAUGGGGUUGCAGUGAAAUGGUGGCUGCGACUGUUUAAUAAAAACACAGCACUCUGCAAACACGAAAGUGGACGUAUAGGGUGUGACGCCUGCCCGGUGCCGGAAGGUUAAUUGAUGGGGUGCAAGCUCUUGAUCGAAGCCCCGGUAAACGGCGGCCGUAA
rnacentral:rRNA from 1 species